GACGAACGCUGGCGGCGUGCCUAAUACAUGCAAGUAGAACGCUGAAGGAGGAGCUUGCUUCUCCGGAUGAGUUGCGAACGGGUGAGUAACGCGUAGGUAACCUGCCUGGUAGCGGGGGAUAACUAUUGGAAACGAUAGCUAAUACCGCAUAAGAGUAGAUGUCGCAUGACAUUUGCUUAAAAGGUGCAACUGCACCACUACCAGAUGGACCUGCGUUGUAUUAGCUAGUUGGUGAGGUAACGGCUCACCAAGGCAACGAUACAUAGCCGACCUGAGAGGGUGAUCGGCCACACUGGGACUGAUACACGGCCCAGACUCCUACGGGAGGCAGCAGUAGGGAAUCUUCGGCAAUGGACGGAAGUCUGACCGAGCAACGCCGCGUGAGUGAAGAAGGUUUUCGGAUCGUAAAGCUCUGUUGUAAGAGAAGAACGAGUGUGAGAGUGGAAAGUUCACACUGUGACGGUAUCUUACCAGAAAGGGACGGCUAACUACGUG
rnacentral:rRNA from 1 species